UGAUUGGAAAUUUCGUUGACU
rnacentral:miRNA from 1 species